AUUUAUUAAAGUGAAAAGAAUCGAGUUAUUAACAAUGUGACGUGCAAGGUAUUCAAUUAUUUUUAUAGUUAGAAAUCAAGCACAUCUUUAGAAUACACACCGUUAUAUUUUUAUGUUGAGGAAGAUAUAUAUUUCCUGGCUUUGCCCAAUCGUCCUUUAGAAUCUGAUUGUUCGAAGUAUCCCGAAUUUGUAUUUUUUAAAGUCAAGUAACGCCUUUUUUUCUCCCGGGAGAAUUGUCGAAGCUGUGAUCCGAGGGGUCAAACAGCUGGACUUGGAAAUGCGUGCCAGAAUCAUAUGGAUUUCAGUUAACAGACUCGGCCACAGUCAAUGGCGCGAUGUUCCACCCGAAUCAGUGGGCAACUAAAGAGCCCGCGUGUCCUCGACGAGUGGCCCUGGCCGUGACGUGGCCCACCGUUACCCCCUACGUGGCGCCGUCGCCCCCUCCUGUCCUCUACACCUCUCCCGCCGUAACCGUGACGGCUCUCUUGCUGGCCCCGGCGCCACCGCCCUUCCGCCACUCGAAACGCCCAACCAUGGGCACGUGUCCCCUCACGUGCCCCACUUGUGCGCCUGGGUCGCGCAACUUGUAAGGAAUUCGCAAGCCCACCUCCUCCUCCGCCUCCCCCUCUCCUUUCUAUAAAUGGCGUUCGCCGGACCUAGCUGGAGCCGGGGGCCAUGCGGUGAUGGAGACUGAGGAAGGGAAGGAGAAGGCCGCGGCGGUGGCGGAGGUCAGCGGCCGGCUUCUGGUGCACAGCCAGGUGAGGAGAAUACGGGAGGAGGAGCUCAAGAUCACGGCCGAGGGACUGCGGAGCGCCAGCCAUCGGAUCGCGCUGCUCCAUCUGAGCACCCACGUGGACGCCAUCCUGUGCUCGCGGUCGCCAUCGAUCCUGCCGUCUUCCCCUCUCGGGAAUAAGGCGGGGAUCAGUUCCCCCCUCCGGUGAUAUCAGAGCCCGGAACUGCGACGGUGACCGCACGUCCCAUAAACCUUAUACGUUUAUCCCCACAGUCCUAUCCUCCUGGAAUCUGAGCCGCUUCGUACGCCUCACCAAAUGAAUGAUUCUACCCCUUUGAUUCUAUCAAAUACCCUCACUCCUAGGGGUCCGGACGGGAAGGAAACGCACUAUCUACAGAGAAGCAAAGCAGGAGCUCCAUUUCAGUCCUUUUCCUUUUUUUUUUUUUUUCUUUUCUUUUUUCUCCCUUCUUUUUCUACCCCAAUUUUAUUUGUACAACAUAGACUGUCUAAUGUGUGGCUUUGUCAUUAUUGUAGAGGCAUGUGUGGAAAGAGGAUUCGUUUUGCCUUUCGGUGGUAACUUCUAUCGCGCUUUGCCUGUGUAACCGUCCGCUCAACUAACUUUUUUUUUUUGUAACCGCGGGAGAGAGAGAAGAGGAAGGUACACUGAUUAGAUGGUGGGGGCCGCAUUGUAAUCGUGGGCCCGGCGGACCUAAGGGUUAAGCCCGCAUCACGUUCUGAGGCUGGCGUCUCGCGCCCAAUUUGCCGUCAUCCGUCGCCGCCAGCCGUCCGAUCCCUCACUCUCGAUCGGCAUCGCCCAUUCUCAGUUUCGUUGCUCCACCGGAACAGCUUAAUCCACAUCGCUGGAAUCCACCCCCGAGCCUCGUCGGCUCCCAUUGGUCGCCACCCUCCAACGGGGACAGGUUCGUAUCUUUCGUGGGAAUCCACCGUUGGGUCGUGCAAUGGUGGCUUCCAGAUCUGCGCAGGCGGAUGACCUCGCGAAAGAACGCGAUAAUUCUUUCUAGAUACACCCGAACCCGCCGCCACGACUGUAGGACCUUAUGCUGUGCAUUCGCUAUGUGGUUCCGGCGGUGCACCGGAACGGUCUGAACGCAAAGGGAAAUCUUUUUUUGGGGUUAGAUAGCGUAACCUUUUCAGAUGAGGUACGGAUAGAAUUGGAGAGUUGGAAGCAGCCAUGAAGGUGAGAAAUAGAAUAAGAUAAAGGCGACCGAGUAGAAAAAAGAAGAAGCAUUACAUGAGAUUUAGAUUUCUUAGCGGUGGUUGCUGGUCGGUUGCUAGGGGAAACAACUCGAGCCUCAAAGAAAUGUACAUUAAAGUAGAGAGAGAGAGAGA